GGUUACCUUGUUACGACUUAGCCCUAGUUACUAGUUUUACCCUAGGCAGCUCCUUUCGGUUACCGACUUCAGGCACUCCCAGCUUCCAUGGCUUGACGGGCGGUGUGUACAAGGCCCGGGAACGUAUUCACCGCGCCAUGGCUGAUGCGCGAUUACUAGCGAUUCAGCUUCACGAAGUCGAGUUGCAGACUUCGAUCCGAACUGAGAUAGUGUUUAAGGGAUUCGCUCCUGGUCACCCAGUGGCUGCCCUCUGUCACUACCAUUGUAGCACGUGUGUGGCCCAGGAUGUUAGGGCCGUGAUGAUUUGACGUCGUCCCACCUUCCUCUCAGCUUGCGCUGGCAGUUCUGCUA
rnacentral:rRNA from 1 species